rnacentral:rRNA from 1 species
GAUGAACGCUGGCGGCGUGCCUAAUACAUGCAAGUCGAGCGAACAGACGAGGAGCUUGCUCCUCUGACGUUAGCGGCGGACGGGUGAGUAACACGUGGAUAACCUACCUAUAAGACUGGGAUAACUUCGGGAAACCGGAGCUAAUACCGGAUAAUAUAUUGAACCGCAUGGUUCAAUAGUGAAAGACGGUUUUGCUGUCACUUAUAGAUGGAUCCGCGCCGCAUUAGCUAGUUGGUAAGGUAACGGCUUACCAAGGCAACGAUGCGUAGCCGACCUGAGAGGGGGAACGGCCCCACUGGAACUGAGACCCCGUCCAGACUCCUACGGGAGGCAGCAGUAGGGAAUCUUCCGCAAUGGGCGAAAGCUUGACGGAGCAACGCCGCGUGAGUGAUGAAGGUCUUCGGAUCGUAAAACUCUGUUAUUAGGGAACAACAAAUGUGUAAGUAACUAUGCACGUCUUGACGGUACCUAAUCAGAAAGCCACGGCUAACUACGUG